rnacentral:misc_RNA from 1 species
CUGCCUGACGAUGAAAUUUGUCCCAAUUCGGUGUCGSUGGUUGYUAUGUUUUGUUCUSGCAUCGUUCGGUSCAUUCUGGGGUCAUUUUGGCUGUWAGCGGCUUSCUUGGCAUUUGAGCUUAGUGGGUGGCUAUAUGYUGKGUGUYUUCGGGGAUGUAUUMCCGUAAAGGUGCAUGAGUGGUKUUUGKUGUGUUACGGGUGGUUGGCUYUUUGCUUGSGCAACAACUUCCUCCCGGCACACCUCUUCAKUCUUGUGUCAAUSCUUGUAUGGCAUUGAAUGCAUGGUGGGUUUCUUGUGUUGCAUACCUAAUUGAUGGUAUCGUUUGAUGAAUUGGUUUCCCUUUUCGUCUUGUGUCGCUCAUUCGGUGUGAGAUGAACCUUGAGGCAGCCCUUGUGAUCCMCUWUUUUGAUGCAUUUGCAUUGAUUUUGUGGCUCAUURAGUGGUUGCUUGGUCUCAUGGAUAUGGAACCUGGUGUGGGCAKGGAAUCUUACUGGUUCCUUGUUUGCUCAAAUUUAGCCUUUCUAAAACGAUUGUCUAUCG